rnacentral:rRNA from 1 species
UAGGGAAUAUUGGGCAAUGGGCGAAAGCCUGACCCAGCAACGCCGCGUGUGUGAUGAAGGCCUUCGGGUCGUAAAGCACUUUUCUGGGAGAUGAGAAAGGACAGUAUCCCAGGAAUAAGUCUCGGCUAACUACGUGCCAGCAGCCGCGGUAAAACGUAGGAGGCGAGCGUUAUCCGGAUUCACUGGGCGUAAAGCGCGUGCAGGUGGCGCGGUAAGUUGGGCGUGAAAUCUCCCGGCUCAACUGGGAGAGGUCGUCCAAUACUACCGUGCUUGAGAGCAGAAGAGGAAGAUGGAAUUCCCGGUGUAGUGGUGAAAUGCGUAGAUAUCGGGAGGAACACCAGUGGCGAAGGCGAUCUUCUGGUCUGUUUCUGACACUCAGACGCGACAGCUAGGGUAGUAAACGGGAUUAGAGACCCCGGUAAUCCUAGCCGUAAACGAUGUGAACUUGGCGUUGGUGGGUUAAACUCCAUCAGUGCCGUAGCAAACGCGAUAAG